AAUGACCUCUAAAGACAGUCCAACCACUCUCCAAAAAUUAACAUUUCAAACCCACAGAAACCAUAUAGGCCCCCUGACUAUUCUUUUGUAGAGCCCU